rnacentral:rRNA from 1 species
CCUGGCGGUUAUUGCGGAGGUGUUAUACCCGUUCCCUUUCCGAACACGGAAGUCAAGCCCUCCCGCGCCGAUGAUACUGCGCCUCUAAAACGCGGGAAAGUAGGCCGCCGCCAGGC